rnacentral:rRNA from 1 species
AACGCUGGCGGCGUGCCUAACACAUGCAAGUCGAACGGAGUCGUUUUGGAAAUCUCUUCGGAGAUGGAAUUCUCGACUUAGUGGCGGACGGGUGAGUAACGCGUGAGCAAUCUGCCUUUAAGAGGGGGAUAACAGUCGGAAACGGCUGCUAAUACCGCAUAAAGCAUUAAAUUCGCAUGUUUUUGAUGCCAAAGGAGCAAUCCGCUUUUAGAUGAGCUCGCGUCUGAUUAGCUAGUUGGCGGGGUAACGGCCCACCAAGGCGACGAUCAGUAGCCGGACUGAGAGGUUGAACGGCCACAUUGGGACUGAGACACGGCCCAGACUCCUACGGGAGGCAGCAGUGGGGAAUAUUGCGCAAUGGGGGAAACCCUGACGCAGCAACGCCGCGUGAUUGAAGAAGGCCUUCGGGUUGUAAAGAUCUUUAAUCAGGGACGAAACAAAUGACGGUACCUGAAGAAUAAGCUCCGGCUAACUACGUG